UACGUAGGGGGCAAGCGUUGGUCCGGAAUCAUUGGGCGUAAAGAGCGUGUAGGCGGUCCGUUAAGUCGGCUGUGAAAGUCCAAGGCUCAACCUUGGGAUGCCGGUCGAUACUGCCGGACUAGAGUUCGGAAGAGGCGAGUGGAAUUCCCGGUGUAGCGGUGAAAUGCGCAGAUAUCGGGAGGAACACCGGUGGCGAAGGCGGGUCUCUGGGCCGAUAUUGACGCUGAGGAGCGAAAGCGUGGGGAGCGAACAGG
rnacentral:rRNA from 1 species